AUGUGUCUUGAAUUUACAACAAUGAAAGGAAACUUCCAGAAGGACAUCAAGGCCGCGUCUGAUCUCAAGAAAAAGUGGUCAAAAUCAAAGAAGACUUUUCUGCGUGCAAAUAUGGGAGAAAGGAGGCGGAAGGUCCGCGUUUGGUCGGCCAGGAGACCCCAGCUGAGUCCGGGCCGUGUCGACGGUAACGUUAAAGCUAGCGCCACGCGGAAGCAAAGUCACGUACCGUCUGUAGCCAUGGCACCAGGAAACACAACACAGUAUCUAAUGGACCUGGUGUACGCUGACCUAUCAUAUGUUUGUGAUAUCUUUGGACUUCCAACAGAGAGACUUCGAGAACGUGUUCUACAGGAAUGAAAUCUGACGCGUUUUCCGAAACCUGACUUGGACUUCGUCGGAAUGAGACGACUGGGUGGGCAGCCGUGAACGCAUAAGACAGUAAUAAGUGCGUGCAAACAGUGCCUUCAUUGUUAGCCCUGUACAAAUAUGAAAUCGUAUCAGACAAUAUGUAUUGAAGCCAAGGCGUUCCAACACAAUGCUUUUGAGUUGCAUGUUACGAGUUGAAUGUGGUUUCAUUUGUCGGCUCUCCUUGUUCUCACAGCAUUGCGCAGACUCCAACUCAGGGAGGCGGAACGCUCUGCGUCACUGCUGCGUGAUGACGUGUACACCACGCCCCGCCGCCAGCAAGGCCGCCACCACGUGGCCAGCAGGUAAACACGCUCCACCCUUUGUGUACGCGGUGUAAGAGCGCUGCAGUAGCGUGUUGUCGCAGUGUAAUUGCUGAGAAAUGUGCAUGCAUUGUUCUGCCAACGGAUGCAUGUGUGUUUUGGGAGACUUUUACAGGUUGCUGAUCCUCCUCGGUGGAUCUCAGCUGUCUGUGCAACCCAUCCAGAGCCUUGGGAAAAGCCGCAUGGCUGCUUGCUCAUCGCUGCAGGGUAACUGUGGUAAAUGUUUGAAUGUAAAUCUACACGCACUCAGAGUUGCAACUCCUGUGAUCUGAUCUACUUUGAGAAAUUAUGUAAAUAUUGAUUGUAUUAAAUAUUAAAAUUUGUUAAUUAAGUUACAUCUGACAUGUUCUUUUGUGUUUAUUAAACAUUAAUGUGUACAUUACAAUGCAUUCAGAUAUUAUUUACCAGUAUCAGAGACAAAUACUUGCAAAUACACUAAGCUGAGGUUUUCAAGGAAGCUUUAUAUAUAUAUAUAUAUAUAUAUAUAUAUAUAUAUAUAUAUAUAUAUAUAUAUAUAUAUAUAUAUAUAUAUAUAUAUAUAUAUAUAUAUAUAUAUAUAAAAAAAUAAAGCUGGCACUAUAAAGGCCUCAUACUCUAUAAACACCUUGUUUUCAUUAACCAAAAAUGCAUAGGAUACCUUUUUUUUUUUUUUUUUCCUUCACCUGGGUACUGCAAGAUGACCUUAAUAAAAUUAAAGAUAUUGAAUGUUAAAAUAUACAUAGAACGUGCCCGCAGAUGCUGCUUGUAUUUGUCUAGUUUUUAUACAUGUAGUUUUGAAGUUACAAUUAGUGUAAGUUUAAAAAUGAGAUUUUUAGAAGUGUUGUUUGAAUUGCUUUGCCCAUGGAGCUUGAGGACUGCUGCUGAAGAACAAUGGAGAAGGAUAUGUGUAACCUGGUCAGGUGAGAACGCAUAAUGCGUAGUCAUUUUAAGUAGGAGUGUCAGUUUAACAAAAGGGUAAGAAGUUAGCAUAAAUGAGACUUAGUUCCUUGAAAUUAUACAUAGUAAAUGGGGUGGUGGUAAAGAUGAAAUGCUCUGUUGUAUUAAGUAUUGUUUGACGUUUUUGAAAUAAAAGUAUAUGGUUUUACUACUUCGUUGACAAUGACAUUCUUGCUUGGGGAGUUGCCAGCCUACACUGGAUGGUUGACUUAAACUGGAUGUAGCCUGUCAAGUUUGUUACAGCUUUAGUCAACUAAAGUAGAUGUCAAAACUUCUCCAUAAUCAGCUAGUUUUAGCAGGGAGUGCACUCACACAACCCUUAACGAACAACACCUUUAUAAAUACAGAAACUAACCUUAUAUGGUACAUACAAUGCAUUAAAACCCAAAAAGGCACUAAAAUUUUAUCAAUAUUUUUUUUUUAUAACAUUUAAAGACCUUUACAAGUGAGAACUUUAGGAAGGUGAAAAAUGAUGUGUUAAGUAACCCCUGUGAAUUUACUUUAAAAAACAUUCUAAAUUGCUCUGGGAGGUUCCCCUCACUUGAAUAUAAUUUAUACAUGAAAACACAUUUAAGAAAAAUCGUAAGAAACUGAUCUGAAGUUCAACAAAGAAGAUUUGAUUGGAUUGCUAUCCUAAUCAAAUGCUUCUGAAGGCUAAUGUUUUUUAUAUAUAGUAAAAGUACUCGACCAAACUAUAUUACAAUAUGAAAGAUGGAUAAAUUAAACUACAGUAAAGCGUAAGACGACAUUCUGUAGUAAGACACAUAACCCUCCUCAUUAUACCCGUCAAUAUAGGUCUAUUUGUUCUUUGCUCAUCUAAUCAACUUGUUCCCUCCAACUCGGAAGUUUCAUCAACAUAAACUCCCAAGAAUUUAAUAGCACCUCAAUUUUUGAUAAAUCCUUAGGGUAUCCUAUAUUUGAAGUUUAAUAUAAGAAUGUAUGUAUUUGUUUGAAAAAAAAAAAAACGACUUUAAAAAAAUCCAAAACCACCUAUGGAAUGAAGUCAAACAUGGAUAUGUUCUAGAAAAUCAAAAAGAAAUGUGACAUUAGUCAGCAUGUUAAAAUCCCUUAGCAUUGUUUCAAGUACCUUGAUAGAUUAAUACAAA
rnacentral:lncRNA from 1 species